AACGAACGCUGGCGGCAGACUUAACGCAUGCAAGUCGAACGCGUGUAGCAUACACGAGUGGCGCACGGGUGAGUAACGCGUGGAUAUCUGCCUUUUGGUUCGGAAUAACCCCGGGAAACUGGGGCUAAUACCGGAUGGUUCCUUCGGGAUAAAGAUUUAUCGCCAAAAGAUGAGUCCGCGUACGAUUAGCUAGUUGGUGAGGUAAUGGCUCACCAAGGCGACGAUCGGUAGCUGGUCUGAGAGGACGAUCAGCCACACUGGAACUGAGACACGGUCCAGACUCCUACGGGAGGCAGCAGUGGGGAAUAUUGGACAAUGGGCGAAAGCCUGAUCCAGCCAUGCCGCGUGAGUGAUGAAGGCCUUCGGGUUGUAAAGCUCUGUCGUGGGGGAAGAAGUUCUGACGGUACCCCACAAGAAAGCACCGGCUAACUCCGUGCCAGCCGCCGCAGUAACAC
rnacentral:rRNA from 1 species